UUGGUGCUUGCAUCAUGAUUUACAUUUGAGUGAGUGGCGAACUGGUGAGUAACACGUGGGAAACCUGCCCAGAAGCGGGGGAUAACACCUGGAAACAGAUGCUAAUACCGCAUAACAACUUGGACCGCAUGGUCCGAGCUUGAAAGAUGGCUUCGGCUAUCACUUUUGGAUGGUCCCGCGGCGUAUUAGCUAGAUGGUGGGGUAACGGCUCACCAUGGCAAUGAUACGUAGCCGACCUGAGAGGGUAAUCGGCCACAUUGGGACUGAGACACGGCCCAAACUCCUACGGGAGGCAGCAGUAGGGAAUCUUCCACAAUGGACGAAAGUCUGAUGGAGCAACGCCGCGUGAGUGAAGAAGGGUUUCGGCUCGUAAAACUCUGUUGUUAAAGAAGAACAUAUCUGAGAGUAACUGUUCAGGUAUUGACGGUAUUUAACCAGAAAGCCACGGCUAACUACGUGCCAGCAGCCGCGGUAAUACGUAGGUGGCAAGCGUUGUCCGGAUUUAUUGGGCGUAAAGCGAGCGCAGGCGGUUUUUUAAGUCUGAUGUGAAAGCCUUCGGCUCAACCGAAGAAGUGCAUCGGAAACUGGGAGACUUGAGUGCAGAAGAGGACAGUGGAACUCCAUGUGUAGCGGUGAAAUGCGUAGAUAUAUGGAAGAACACCAGUGGCGAAGGCGGCUGUCUGGUCUGUAACUGACGCUGAGGCUCGAAAGUAUGGGUAGCAAACAGGAUUAGAUACCCUGGUAGUCCAUACCGUAAACGAUGAAUGCUAAGUGUUGGAGGGUUUCCGCCCUUCAGUGCUGCAGCUAACGCAUUAAGCAUUCCGCCUGGGGAGUACGGCCGCAAGGCUGAAACUCAAAGGAAUUGACGGGGGCCCGCACAAGCGGUGGAGCAUGUGGUUUAAUUCGAAGCUACGCGAAGAACCUUACCAGGUCUUGACAUACUAUGCAAAUCUAAGAGAUUAGACGUUCCCUUCGGGGACAUGGAUACAGGUGGUGCAUGGUUGUCGUCAGCUCGUGUCGUGAAAUGUUGGGUUAAGUCCCGCAACGAGC
rnacentral:rRNA from 1 species